rnacentral:rRNA from 1 species
GAUGAACGCUGGCGGCGUGCCUAAUACAUGCAAGUCGAGCGAACGGACGAGAAGCUUGCUUCUCUGAUGUUAGCGGCGGCCGGGUGAGUAACACGUGGAUAACCUAUCUAUAAGACUGGGAUAACUUCGGGACACCGGAGCUAAUACCGGCCAAUAUUUUGAACCGCAUGGUUCAACAGUGAAAGACGGUCUUGCUGUCACUUAUAGAUGGACCCGCGCUGCAUUAGCUAGUUGGUAAGGUAACGGCUUACCAAGGCAACGAUGCUUAGCCGACCUGAGAGGGUGGUCGGCCAGACUGGAUGUGAGACACAGUCGAGACUCCUGCAGGAGGCAGCAGUCGGGAAUCUUACGCAAUGGGCGAAAGCGUAACGGAGCAACGCGGCGUGAGUGAUGAAGGUCUUCGGAUCGUAAAGCGCUGUUGGUAGGGAAGAACAAAUGUGUAAGUAACUGUGCACAUCUUGACGGUACCUAGUGAAAAAGCCACGGCUAACUACGUG